GCCAGCGUAGCUCAAUGGUGGAGCACCCGCUUCGUAAGCGGUAGGUUGUCGGUUCAAGUCCGACCGCUGGCU
rnacentral:tRNA from 1 species